CAGCACCCAGCCCAGCUUCCACAAUCACCUCCACUCUAAGUCCUCUCACAGGUACUUGUCAUGACCCUAGUUACACAAUCCUUUGGGUGGCUGUCAGUAGAGGAGAAAGAAUAGGUGGAUAGUGGAUACCAGGAAGGGGGAAGCACGAAAAGAGUUGAGAACCGCUGCCUUAUCAAACAAAACAGCAGAGCUCAUACAGUUACGCCAGCAGCCAAGACCCACCUCUGAAUUUUGCCCGGUCUUGUAUAGUUCAGGCAAACUUAGGAGUGUUUCUGCAGAUACAUCUUUAUCCAGGAUUCCAAAAAGGAUGGGGGGCAUCGAGGUGAAAAAGAGGUUGAAGAAGAUCAUCUGCCAGUAAUCUAUCAUAGUGGUCCCUGAGAAGCCACAGAAGAACUGGUACCAGAAGAGCAGGCUGACGUAGCUCUGUGAGAGAAGUGAACAAAAACCACCAAGCGAUGCAUUAUGAGUAGACACAGUCCCAACAUUUCGAACUUGCAAGAAAAAUUGCUUUUGGUCUGAACUGGACUGAGUCAAUGAGAAAGAUUGACCAAGGUUUGCUAAUUUUAGCCGUUGGAGCAGCUGGUGAAUCCUCUCCAAGGAGAUCCCCGAUGGUUUCAUCAGUGGUGGUGCUGUAACCUUGAGACAUGAGAAGACAUUGGGAACAUUACACCUGAAAUUAAACAAGUUGCUGUGGAGACCACAACAGUAUUACAGAUAGCCAGUGCAAGAAAAAAGUCAGUAACGGACGUGGUGGAGCAGGUGUCCUUUGCAGAUGGAAAUGAUGUCAAAGACUCUAUCUGGAGUGCAGCAUCUCUCACUUUCAUCAACAGCCUGCUAUCAGGGGUCACAUCCUUUUCCUGGAAGAGAAGUUAUUCAAAUGGACCACACAGUGCUGCUUAUAUUCUUCUCCAGGAUCAGCAGACUCCAUUUUCAUUAACUCCAUCAAAUGCCACGAAAGAAACAUCAUCAUCUGCUUCCUUCUCAGAAUUACACUGACAGCAACAUAUGAACUGAUGAAACCAUCUCAUAUUUCAACAAAACAGCAAAACCCGUGAAGCAUAGAUGCACUCACAAAACAUUCAAGCUUGGAUAAUUCUUGUAACCACCUAGCUCCAUAAUCCUAAAACCUCUCAAGAUAUAGCGAUAAAGUGUAAAACCCAUAUAACAGGGCAUUAGGAGAUGUCUGGGAACCCAACUGGGUUUGGGGAGGAGGCACCCAAGCUAAUGGUUGGCACCUCCUUGUGGCAGAUGUUCAGUGCAGGUACUCCAUAGGGAAGAUAUACAGUGACCGGAUAAAUGGCUUGGAAAAGGACUUAAAAAGAGGUGUCAGUAAAGGUGUGAACGGGGGAUGGUUUGGGACCCCUAGGAGCUAACCCCAUUAUUAUAGUCCACCUUAACCCUCCUAUGAGGUGGGGGUGGUAGUGGAGGAUGGUAAGGUCCUGUCAAUGGGAUUUGCUUGAAUGACCUGGAUGGAAAAAGAGGGGGAGCUGGUAAAAAGCCCCCUUGGUAAUUAUGAUAUAAACAUGGGUUUACCUGCACUGCACACUUUUAUCUGCCAGGUAGUCCCAGACAUCUAAUAAUAAAGU